rnacentral:rRNA from 1 species
CCAAUGGCGUAUAUUAACGUUGUUGCAGUUAAAAAGCUCGUAGUUGACUUUCGGGAUCAAUCUUUCGGUCGUGCCUUCGGUACGUACUGGUAUCAUUGGUCUCUCCUUUCUGACGAACCAUGAUGUCAUUAAUUUGGUGUUAUGGGGAGUUAGGACUGUUACUUUGAAAAAAUUAGAGUGUUUAAAGCAGGGUUUAGCUUGAAUUCAUUAUCAUGGACUUAGGAAAUAGUACGUUCGAACCUAUUUUUUUGGUUUCUAGGAUCAACGUAAUGAUUAAUAGGGAUAGUUGGGGGCAUUAGUAUUCAAUUGUCAGAGGUGAAAUUCUUGGAUUUAUUGAAGACUAACUACUGCGAAAGCAUUUGCCAAGGAUGUUUUCAUUAAUCAAGAACGAAAGUUAGGGGAUCGAAGACGAUCAGACACCGUCGUAGUCUUAACCAUAAACUAUGCCGACUAGGGAUCGGAUGAUGUUAAUUUUUUAAUGACUCAUUCGGCGCCUUACG